rnacentral:rRNA from 1 species
AUGAGUUUUUAUAGGAUUUUAUAUAUUCUUCGGUUGCUUACUGUAAUCUUUUUGAAACUGAAAUUUGAAAAGAGCAUGAGUUUUGAUAGGAUUUUAUAUAUUCUUCGGUUGCUUACUGUAACCUGUACCUUUUGGUCGGAUAUAGAUAGAAUCAUACUGAUUUCCUAUAAUUUCGCCGUCACAAAGAUGUUCUAUUUGUUUGGUUUGCUGUAUUGUGAUGACCGUCAGAAAUUACCUAUAUAUGCUAUUCGUACUGUUAAAUUUAGUUCUAGCGACCCCGAGGAAGUAAUGUGUUGUACGCCUGACACGUGA